UACGUAGGGUGCGAGCGUUGUCCGGAAUUAUUGGGCGUAAAGAGCUCGUAGGCGGUGUGUCGCGUCGGCCGUGAAAACCUGGGGCUUAACUCUGGGCGUGCGGUCGAUACGGGCAUCACUAGAGUUCGGCAGGGGAGACUGGAAUUCCUGGUGUAGCGGUGAAAUGCGCAGAUAUCAGGAGGAACACCAGUGGCGAAGGCGGUGCUCUGGGCCGGAACUGACGCUGAGGAGCGAAAGCGUGGGGAGCAAACAGG
rnacentral:rRNA from 1 species